UACAGAGGUCUCAAGCGUUGUUCGGAUUCAUUGGACGUAAAGGGUGUGUAGGUGGCGCCGUAAGUCAGGUGUGAAAUCUCGGGGCUUAACUCCGAAACUGCAUUUGAUACUGCGGUGCUUGAGGACUGGAGAGGAGACUGGAAUUUAUGGUGUAGCAGUGAAAUGCGUAGAUAUCAUAAGGAAGACCAGUGGCGAAGGCGGGUCUCUGGACAGUUCCUGACACUGAGACACGAAGGCCAGGGGAGCAAACGGG
rnacentral:rRNA from 1 species